UACGAAGGAUGCAAGCGUUAUCCGGAUUCAUUGGGUUUAAAGGGAGCGUAGGUGGCCUUAUAAGUCAGUGGUGAAAUCUCCGGGCUUAACCCAGAAAUUGCCAUUGAUACUGUAGGGCUUGAGUAUAGUUGCCGUUGGCGGAAUAUGACAUGUAGUGGUGAAGUACAUAGAGAUGUCAUAGAACACCGAUUGCGAAGGCAGCUCACUACACGGUCAUUGACACUGAGGCACGAAAGCGUGGGGAUCAAACAGG
rnacentral:rRNA from 1 species